GUAGCUCAGUUGGUUAGAGCAUGGUGCUGAUACUGCCAAAGCUGCAGGUUUGAUUCCUGCAUGGGACA